rnacentral:lncRNA from 1 species
UUUGUUCGAUCCAUACAUUGUCGUCAAAAUGAUUAAUAUUAAACAAACAGAAAGAGGAAUAUAGUCUCCAUCUGCAAGUGAGACCACCAGUAGUGAGAUGACAAGAGAGAAUAAAUACAUAUAAUAUUGGGGAGGAAAUAAUUUAAACAUGUGUAACUGCAGUAUGCUACGCCGUACGCGCGCGCGUACCGGUCGUCACAGACAAAGACGUCGUCCCUAGGCAGCAACGAAUGAACAUUUGCAAAAGUACAUGCAUGCAGGUAGCUAGCUUGGCUUGACCUUUGGGGUGCAUGGAAGGGAGGGGGCACUGAGCACAUCCAUAUGUGACGUCUCGCUCUACCUAAAUUCUUCGAUCUCAUGGAGUCAUGGUCAUGGGUUCAUUGGCCGGCAUACCAAGAACAAAGUUAGUUAAAGACACCCAGCACACGCACGCACGCACGCACGCACGCACGCAUCAUUCCCAAUCCCGGCGCUUCUCUCUCUUCUAGAUCUAUCGUGGCUCUUUUCUCUCAUGCCCAGUUGAUCAACAAUAAUUUUGCAGCCGGACACUAAUUUAAAAGCUUUAGCAAACACACUAUUAUGCUUAAAUGUAACUUGAUUUUUCGAAAUUAUCAACGUUAUAUAUGUCUGCAACUCGGCAGUGAGACAGCUUAAACAGAAAUAGAUCUUUGAUUUACACACAACUUAUAUAAGAUAGAUCUUUAAUCAGAUGUUGAGCUACCCACUAUACACUAAAAUGCACAUAAAUUCAUUAAAAAUGAGAAAACAGAAUGUUCCCUAUAAAGGACUAACUUGUUUCUGUUACAGAGGCCAUAUCCACAGCUAAUCUAGAGCUGAUGAUUAGCCAGAACGCUGAAUCAUAUCACACCGUUGCAAUUAUCUAGAGCCAAUGAUAAUCUAGCUAGAAUAAUGAUUAAAUCUAACAAACCAAAUUUGACAAUGCACGACCAUUCAAUGUUCUAGUAUGAUUGAGAGUUAACAGCCACAGUGAGAUUACAAAAAAAAAUCUCUAUCGCCAGGAAUAGCGAUUAUGAUUUGUAUCGUCAUGACAUGAACCAAAACUGCCUGCCCAAAUUCAAGGCUAUGUAGUGUAGACACCUAUAAACUAAACAUAGUAUAUACAAAAAGAUCUAUGUGGCUGCAUUGAGUGAAUCUAAUCAACAGCCAUAAUAAUGGAUUUUCCUACCGCUGCUAUAGGUUAACUAAAGAAUCAACACAUUAGAAUAAACAGGCUGAAGCUUCUGUGGUUCUAAACUUCUGUUGUACAAUGCGUCAAUUUGCUCUGAACUGGCAUCACCGCUUUACUUAUUUGAUCCCGUUUUCAGUGUGGGCACUAUGACCUACUCAGGAGGCCGAGGUGCUUAACAGAAAGAAAACAACGGCUCCCAAUUAUUUUUUCCAAUCCUAGAUAGUGUUUAACAGAAUUUGCUCCAGGUUUCAUAGUUUAGUCUCUCGGUAUGUCUGGUCCACUAAUUUUCAUAUUUCUUUCUUGCGGGGCCACUAAUUUUCAUGUUGCCAUAGAGCCAAAUUCUUUAACACAGUAGAUGUGCGCUAUCACAUCCAUUCCAGUGGAACAUGAAAGUUCUCAUGUAAUCGUUUUUCAGUUACGUCAAUAAAUACUAAACUACCACCUUGUGAUCAACUCACUAGUACAAAAGUGCUCAAAGCCAGCGGUGGAACAUAAUUUUUACAGGCGGUUUUAAUUAAAAAACGCCUGUGGAAAAAAUGAGGCUUACCCGACUACAAAACCGCCUGUGGAAAUCAAUUUUUACAGGCGGUUUUUCUAACAAAACCGCCUGUAGAAAUCAUGUAUUUCUACAGGCGGAUUUCUUAAGAAACCGCCUGUAGAAAUAUAAUUUGUACAGGCGGUUCCUUGAGAAAUCCGCCUGUAGAAAUAAUUUGAACUUGAUUUUUUUUGAGUUUUCAAAUGACCUCGUUUGAAAAAACCAUCAAAAUAAAAGUUGUAGAUCUUGAAAAGAUAUGAAACUUUGUAGUUGAUAAUUUUUUCAUUUGAAAUCAUCUUGUCAUCAAAAACGACGUUUGAAUUUCUCAAAUUUGAAAUUCAAAUUUUGUAAAUGACCUCGGAUGAAGGAACUACCAAUAUAAAAGUUGUAGGUCUUAAAAAGUUGUAAAACUUUGUAGUUGACGACUUUUUCAUUUGAAUCCGUUUAGAGCCUCAAAUAAUCAAUUUAUGCUUGGUUUAUGAUAGUAUGUGAGGAACUAAACUCUAUUACAACACAAGUGAGUGAUAGGUGGAGUGGUAGAGAAGGAUACGCAUGAGGGUGAGGUUUCAUGUUCGAAUCCUACCGACCGCGGAUAGCCAGUGAGCCUUCCUUGUAUUAAAAUCUCCCACCAAACGCGGAUAGCCAAUGAGCCUUCCCUGUAUUAAAAUCUUUUUUCCUAUUUUUAAAAAUCGAUUUCAUAUUUUUUAUCAAAAGAUUUCUACAGGCGGUUGGCAUAACUGAACCGACUGUAGAAAUACUUUUCCACAGGCGGUUCCACAGGCCAGAUCACAGGCGGUUCGCCAAACCGUCUGUAAAAAGGAGUUUAGAACCGCAUGUAUAGUACCUCUGUGUUCUAGUGACUUUUAUUUUUCAGUUACUUUAAUAAAUAUUUAACUACCUCUUUGUGAUCAACUUUUUAUUCGCUAGAUUAGUGUCUAGUAGUUUUUACAUGUUUCUUCCAUUUUCCAGAUUUCCUUUUCAAUUCAUUUUUCUAUAUAGCAUGUGAUUAAACAAAUGUGUAUCAUGGUGUACUAAUUUUGCUUUCACUUGGAAAUUAUGAAGUAAUCUUGGAAAUUAUGAAGUAAUAUUGGAACAAUGAUCGAGGAGGAAGUCAUACUAUUCUUUGUACCACUUUAAUUAUAAUAAGAUCGGCUCUAGAGCAACCGAACAUCACGUCACAUCACAGAAAUCCAAUGCCGAUGGAUCAAAUUGGUGGAUUAUGCAACAAAUAGGAAAGUGGAUCGAAGUACAUCCAGGGAGAGGUCGCAGGCGUACAACACUGUAUCGUCGGGCAUCAUCUCGUUCGAGGGGCCUGAAGCACCUCGGCCUCCUCGACGCAGCAGGUCGUGUUGCCACCCUUACCGGAGGAGACCACCAACUGGAUCGAGGGGUUAUUGAAACUGGAGAGGUUGCGCGAGGCAAGGCAGGGGCGGAGGAUCCCAUAUGGCAAGGUAUGGCUCUUGCCAUACCUUAAUUGUGUGGAUAUCCACUGUGAAUUGCAGGUCUUGCAUCUAUGUUUGGCGUUCACUAUGGCUGAUUGUGAGAGAAGCUCCUUCGGCAUGAGAAAGGUCACACUUGGACAAGUUGACCGUUAUUAUAUUUGGGCUCUAUGAUAUGUGUUACCAAAGCCCACUUGAGCCCAUAACUAUCUUCACCGGACACUAUUAAUUUUGAUACAAAUUUUUGGCAUUUGUGUUUUCCACGCUUUCGUAAACCGGAUGAUGAUGCACCACAUUGUUACCAUUCAUAUCUAUAUUAAAAACUUCGCCAUACCUUAGUUUUAAUCCUUCCUCCACCACUAAGGCAAGACAUGCGCACACAACCUGAUUUGCAGAGAACCCGAUGGAGCCACCACAGCAGAACAAAACCAAGUGAGGUCGAGCGGCAUCGGGCACUGGUAGAUCUUGGCCUAGACCUUGUCCUAGACCUUGUCCACUUCGAGACAAUGGUGGCGGUAGGACGAACGACCCCUCCCGACCAAUCCUCUCCCACCGACUCCUCCAUCGUUCUCACCCGUCCCUGUCGCCAUGGCCAUCAGCACAGGAUGGGAUAGGAUUGGGGGGCAUCAUCAGCAGGAAGGAGCAGGGAGGCGGCGGAUGGGGAAUUGGGGACUGACUCGGGAGGAGCCGAGGGGGAUGCGAUGAUGGGUUUCCUUGUUCGCGCGGAUGGGUUUCCUUGUGUGCGCGAUGGGGAUGCGACAGGGACGGAGGCGCUAGCGGGGGCGGGAUUGUCAAGCAAAGGCUU